UACAGAGAGUGGAAACGUUGUUCGGAAUUACUGGGCUUAAAGCACACGUAGGCGGCGCCGCAAGUGUGGGGUGAAAUCCCAAGGCUUACCCGUGGAACUGCCUGGCAGACUGCGGUGCUAGAGGAUGGUAGGGGAGAGCGGAACUCCUGGUGGAGCGGUGAAAUGCGUAGAUAUCAGGAGGAACACCGGUGGCGAAGGCGGCUCUCUGGUCCAUUACUGACGCUGAGGUGCGAAAGCUAGGGGAGCAAACGGG
rnacentral:rRNA from 1 species